UCUAGUUUGGGUGCUAGUGGCCUUAUCGAUGGCAAGACGGGUACCAAUUGGCUCCACGAUGCGACAUAGAUCAUCCCAAACGUAGUGAUGCCAUGGAAAGUUAGUCCAAAUUGAGGCUGGAUUUUCAUUGUUUUCAGGUUUGAAACAGGAGGUCCAUUUGAUGAUUUUCAUAUUGUUUACCUUCAUGCCAUUACCAUUAGCUGUAGCUAUUAAUUGUAGUGUUGUUGCUUUAGUUGGACAUUCCAAUUGCUUCACUACUUCAGGAUCAAUGAAGUUACGGGAGCUUCCAGUGUCUACUAAUAUGUCCAGAGGUCUCUGUAAUGCCCCGUAAAAGUCGUGCAUUUACUAACUCUUAGUGGUGUGGUCAUAGACUUGAAAACAUGAAAAAAUUUUCUAAGUGUUAAAGGACUUAGACUCAUUUUUGGCUUGUAAUCUUCGGGGAUUUUAUUUUCAACCUUCCCGACCUCCGUUUUUAGAUUUUCUUGUUGCGCUACGAUGGGGCAAGGUCGUAGUACAUCUCAGGUAAGUUUCAAAAUUUUUGGACUAGCCUAAGGUCGUGUUUGGAUUGGCAAAACAGUAGCUAAAGGCGCUUGUGGGGGUGCCGCCCAAGGUUCACCCCCGCUCUAAGCGGGGCGCCGCCUGGUCUCUCCCCCGGUGAAAGCAAGGCGCCGCCCUGGGUUCUCCCAGGGUCUAAGCAGGGCGCCGCCCUGCCUAUCACGCCCAGACAAAUUUCAGUGCACUAUUCCGUCUCAUUAAGGGCAUUGUGGUAUAUUUCCAAAACCUUAUCAACUUAAACACGGGAUUACACUCCCCAUUGAGCAUAAUAUUGAUAUUUGCACCAAAAAUCCUCAAGAACACUCUCAAGGGUUUCAACCUAAAAACCCAAGUAGUUUGAGAUUUAACCGUAGGCUUUCGAAAUUGAUCGAAUAUUUGGAAUCCCCGCAACGUAGGCUUCAAGAAGCACCUAUUAACUCCGCAUAUAGAGGUAUGUGGGGUAAUCCUAAAAAUCUCAUGGCCUUAAAAAUUCAUGUUUUAAUAGUGGAGGUUUUGAAAUUAUGAAUAUAAUCAUGUUUUAAACGUUUCUAUGAUAUUGAUUUGGUCUUUAGGCCUAUUCCAAAGUGAUUUGAUAUAUUAUAUAUGUAUAUGCAUGUGUUUCGAAAAGAUGUUAACUUGAGAGCAUGAAUUAUAUGGAAUCCCUCUCUUGAUAUGAUUUUGUUCUAAAUUUUCAUAUGACGUGGAUUGUUUGAAAUCAUCUUGAAAAGCCUGACAUGAAAUGUUUUGAAAAUUGUUAUGAUUGGAUAUAAUUUUGACUUGCAAGGAGAGGGUUGUUUAUGUUGAAAUUUUGAAUAUAAUGAUUGAAUGAAAGAAUGAUGUGAUACUGAUGACUUGCAAGUCGGGUAUGACGAUACCCUACAGAAUAUGAUAUGUGAUUGAAUUAAAUGAAAUUGAAUGCAUUGAUUUUACAUGAGAUAGGUGGAUGCGUGUAAGGGCUCAUCGCUGGAAACUGUGUUAGCCAACAGGGGAAAUUGGUACCCUGCUUUGUGAUCUUGUGUACCUGAUAUAUAUAUUAUCCCACUUUGGGACUAUGGUUAGGAGCCCUGCUUUGUGAUCUUGUGCACUACCAUACUUCAUUGGGUCUAGACACCCUGCUGUGUGAUCUUGUGUGUCUUCCCCUCACUUAUACUCUAAUCUCAGCGGCAAUCGAGGUUUGACAGUUGGUGUAAAUGUGAUAUUGUAGGGUAUUCCACCUAGCUCAGCUGCAUUGCAUUGUUGUUGAAAAAUUAUUACAUUAUGCCUAUGUGUUUUCAAAUGAUUUGAUAAGAAACUGUUUUAAAAUGGCUCUAACUUAUACUUUGUAAGAAUAUUGUAUUUUUGUUUUGGAUUACUCUGCGUACCAGUACAUUUGUAUUGACCCCCUUCCCUCCCAGGUUCGGAGGCACAGUCUAGGGGUCCAGAAAAUCAGUAGAUUCGUCAGGCAGAUUCGCAGAGUCACUUGGUGAGCCUUCUAUAUUUCGGAAGGCCUGAUGUCUGGCAGAUCAUAUAUCAUUUAGUAGUUUUGGGUCUACUGGGGCCUUGUUCUAGUUUUCAGACAAUUAUUUGUUUCAGUCAUGUAGUAGAGAUUUCGCAGACGGUUGUUCAGAUGUCG
rnacentral:lncRNA from 1 species